GAAUUAUUUGCGAUUGUUCCAAUUAAAGAUAUCUUCACAUUUGAACUAAUUUAAAUAUAACUGGUCACAAUUAGGUUAUUAUUAGAACACAUGCGCGAAUGUUCUCAUAUUACACGAUCAAGAUUAUGACUAGAAUUUGAAGCUUCAAAUAUGGGAGGUGCAUCCAUAAAAUAUGGGAAAAUAUAGAAUAAACAAAUAUUUGUCUUGUCUCGAGGAGGACACUAGUCAAAGUGGAGGGGGUGUGAUGGGGACAUCAUCUUCAUCCAAGAAUAAAAAAUGCCUCAUCUUCAGCUAAUUCACAUGUCUGAUGAUUAUAUCUACUGUUGGCAUUUAAUUAAUGUGUUCUCUCAUGUUUUGUUUGCGAGGUAAUGUUAGUAAAGUGUAGAAACGUGGACUUAGUCAUAUAAUUCAUUGUUCACUAGCAAAAGAAACGUUGAGACUAUUGUGGAAGUAGUUAAAUACAAAGGAAGCCAUCUGCUUGACGCAGUAGACAAUAAAAAGAACUCAUCAAUUAAGAGAUCAGUUGAAGAAAGUGUUUACACAAAAAAAAAAAAAAAACAAAUUCUUUAUAAUCAACAUGGAGUUUAUUUGACUGGAUAUAUCAUUUAC
rnacentral:lncRNA from 1 species